rnacentral:tRNA from 1 species
AGAGUUUUAAGUUAAAAUAAACUAUAAGUUUUCAAGACUUAUUAUAAAUAUUAUGUUUAAAUUCUG